rnacentral:tRNA from 1 species
UAAGAUGGCUGAAAAAGCGGUGGGUUGUAGCUCCAGGAAUAGAGGUGUAAGUCCUCUUCUUAU